rnacentral:rRNA from 1 species
CUUUUGAAGAAUGAGCCUGCGAGUUAGUGGUAUGUGGCGAGGUUAACCCGUGUGGGGAAGCCGUAGCGAAAGCGAGUCCGAAUAGGGCGAAUGAGUCGCAUGCUCUAGACCCGAAGCGGAGUGAUCUACCCAUGGCCAGGUUGAAGCGCGGGUAAGACCGCGUGGAGGACCGAACCCACCAGGGUUGAAAACCUGGGGGAUGAGCUGUGGGUAGGGGUGAAAGGCCAAUCAAACUCCGUGAUAGCUGGUUCUCCCCGAAAUGCAUUUAGGUGCAGCGUCACGUGUUUCUUGCCGGAGGUAGAGCUACUGGAUGGCUAAUGGGCCCUACAAGGUUACUGACGUCAGCCAAAACUCCGAAUGCCGGUAAGUGAGAGCGUGGCAGUGAGACUGCGGGGGAUAAGCUCCGUAGUCGAAAGGGAAACAGCCCAGAACACCAGCUAAGGCCCCCAAGCGUGUGCUAAGUGGGAAAGGAUGUGGAGUUGCACAGACAACCAGGAGGUUGGCUUAGAAGCAGCCA